AAUUUUUAGUUUAAUAUGAAUAUAUUACUUACAAUAAUAAGGUAAAAAAUUCUA
rnacentral:tRNA from 1 species